rnacentral:lncRNA from 1 species
AUCUAGCUUUGGGUUUUUGAAGAGUUGUUGAGAAGCACUUAAGAGGUCCCUUUUAUAGCCCAAAAAGCAAAUAUAGCCGUUAGAGACAAAGAAAGAAGGAUUUGAAAUUCAAACCAAACCUGAAAAGCUGUCAGUCGCGUUCCAGUCGCUCCGGGGACGUCUCCGCUUCAACGGGAGACGUCUCGGCUACAAGAUUUUACUUUUUC